UAUGUAGGUGGCGAGCGUUGUCCGGAAUUACUGGGUGUAAAGGGAGCGCAGGCGGGAAGCCAAGUCAGCUGUGAAAACUACGGGCUUAACUUGUAGACUGCAGUUGAAACUGGUUUUCUUGAGUGAAGUAGAGGUUGGCGGAAUUCCGAGUGUAGCGGUGAAGUGCGUAGAUAUUCGGAGGAACACCGGUGGCGAAGGCGGCCAACUGGGCUUUAACUGACGCUGAGGCUCGAAAGUGUGGGGGGCAAACAGG
rnacentral:rRNA from 1 species